CCUACGGGAGGCAGCAGUAGGGAAUAUUGGACAAUGAGCGAAAGCUUGAUCCAGCCAUGCCGCGUGUGCGAUGACGGCCUUAGGGUUGUAAAGCACUUUAGGUAACGAGGAAAAGUUAGGUGUUAAUACCAUCUAACCUUGACGUUAAUUACAGAAUAAGCACCGGCUAAAUCCGUGCCAGCAGCCGCGGUAAUACGGAUGGUGCAAGCGUUAAUCGGAAUUACUGGGCGUAAAGCGCGCGUAGGUGGCAUACCAAGUUAGAUGUGAAAUCCCAGGGCUUAACCCUGGAACUGCAUCUAAAACUGGUAAGCUUGAGUACUAGAGAGGAAAGUAGAAUUCUUAGUGUAGCGGUGGAAUGCGUAGAUAUUAAGAGGAAUACCAAUGGCGAAGGCAACUUUCUGGAUAGAUACUGACACUGAGGUGCGAAAGCGUGGGGAGCA
rnacentral:rRNA from 1 species